rnacentral:tRNA from 1 species
GGGGGCGUAGCUUAGCCCGGUAAAGCAUCUGCUUGUCACGCAGAAGACCGCGGGUUCAAAUCCCGUCGCUCCCG